AUUGAACGCUGGCGGCAGGCCUAACACAUGCAAGUCGAACGAGUGGCGGACGGGUGAGUAAUGUCUGCGAAACUGCCUGAUGGAGGGGGAUAACUACUGGAAACGGUAGCUAAUACCGCAUACCAUCAGAUGUGCCCAGAUGGUAGUAGCAAGGUGGUGGGGUAACGGCUAACCAAGGCGACGAUCCCUGGCUGGUCUGAGAGGAUGACCAUCAACACUGGAACUGAGAAAGAGUCCAGACUCCUACGGGAGACGGCAGUGGUGAAUAUUGCACAAUGGACGCAAGCCUGAUGCAGCAAUGCCACGUGUAUGAAGAAGGCCUUGGGGUUGUAAGGUACUUUCAGCAGGGAGGCGUUACCCGCAGAAGAAGCACCGGCGAACUCCGUGCCAGCAGCCGCGGUAAUUC
rnacentral:rRNA from 1 species